UACAGAGGGUGCGAGCGUUGUUCGGAAUUAUUGGGCGUAAAGGGCGCGUAGGCGGGCUCGCAGGUCAGGGGUGAAAGCCCACGGCUCAACCGUGGAAGUGCCUUUGAUACCGUGAGUCUCGAGGGAGGUAGGGGCGUGCGGAACUUCCGGUGGAGCGGUGAAAUGCGUAGAUAUCGGAAGGAACAUCGGUGGCGAAAGCGGCGCGCUGGACCUCUUCUGACGCUGAGGCGCGAAAGCCAGGGGAGCAAACGGG
rnacentral:rRNA from 1 species